rnacentral:lncRNA from 1 species
AUGAGACCUGCAGAUUAUCAUAGAUGGAGACCUAGAAAAGCCACGCCAUGUCCACGGGUGGCACGGAUAGGUGUUUUCUUUCAAUGGUACCCCAGAGGGAACUCAGGUUUGAGAAAACUAGGAGUGGAUAGUGUUUCCAGUACAAGAUACUGCAUCAGCUUUUGGAAAUCUCUGAGACCAGCAGAUAGAGCUUCUCAUGUUUACUUCCAAAGACACAGGUGCUGAUCGGAAAGCUUAUGAUUGAGAGGUUCCUUGAGAGACACAAAUUUAGAACAUUCUCCAAGGAGCCUAUCUGCUUCCCAACAAUGGAAACAAGGACUGCUCCAGGAAGCUCUUCACUUCCAAAGGGUCCAGAAUCAGCUUGGGGGCUGCCUUUCUCUUUAAGAAGGGAACUUUUGGAGUCUCCCUGGCUAUUCCUCCAGUAAGCACCACUCCAGCCUGGCAAUAGA